AGAGUUUGAUUCCUGGCUCAGAUUGAACGCUGGCGGCAGGCUUAACACAUGCAAGUCGAGCGGAAACGAUGAUAGCUUGCUAUCAGGCGUCGAGCGGCGGACGGGUGAGUAAUACUUAGGAAUCUACCUAGUAGUGGGGGAUAGCACGGGGAAACUCGUAUUAAUACCGCAUACGACCUACGGGAGAAAGGGGGCAGUUUACUGCUCUCGCUAUUAGAUGAGCCUAAGUCGGAUUAGCUAGAUGGUGGGGUAAAGGCCUACCAUGGCGACGAUCUGUAGCUGGUCUGAGAGGAUGAUCAGCCACACCGGGACUGAGACACGGCCCGGACUCCUACGGGAGGCAGCAGUGGGGAAUAUUGGACAAUGGGGGAAACCCUGAUCCAGCCAUGCCGCGUGUGUGAAGAAGGCCUUUUGGUUGUAAAGCACUUUAAGCAGUGAAGAAGACUCCGUGGUUAAUACCCACGGACGAUGACAUUAGCUGCAGAAUAAGCACCGGCUAACUCUGUGCCAGCAGCCGCGGUAAUACAGAGGGUGCAAGCGUUAAUCGGAAUUACUGGGCGUAAAGGGAGCGUAGGUGGCUCUAUAAGUCAGAUGUGAAAUCCCCGGGCUCAACCUGGGAACUGCAUCUGAAACUGUAGAGCUAGAGUAUGUGAGAGGAAGGUAGAAUUCCAGGUGUAGCGGUGAAAUGCGUAGAGAUCUGGAGGAAUACCGAUGGCGAAGGCAGCCUUCUGGCAUAAUACUGACACUGAGGCUCGAAAGCGUGGGUAGCAAACAGGAUUAGAUACCCUGGUAGUCCACGCCGUAAACGAUGUCUACUAGUCGUUGGGUCCCUUGAGGACUUAGUGACGCAGCUAACGCAAUAAGUAGACCGCCUGGGGAGUACGGCCGCAAGGUUAAAACUCAAAUGAAUUGACGGGGGCCCGCACAAGCGGUGGAGCAUGUGGUUUAAUUCGAUGCAACGCGAAGAACCUUACCUGGUCUUGACAUAUCUAGAAUCCUGCAGAGAUGCGGGAGUGCCUUCGGGAAUUAGAAUACAGGUGCUGCAUGGCUGUCGUCAGCUCGUGUCGUGAGAUGUUGGGUUAAGUCCCGCAACGAGCGCAACCCUUGUCCUUAGUUACCAGCGGGUUAAGCCGGGAACUCUAAGGAUACUGCCAGUGACAAACUGGAGGAAGGCGGGGACGACGUCAAGUCAUCAUGGCCCUUACGACCAGGGCUACACACGUGCUACAAUGGUAGGUACAGAGGGCAGCUACACAGCGAUGUGAUGCGAAUCUCAAAAAGCCUAUCGUAGUCCAGAUUGGAGUCUGCAACUCGACUCCAUGAAGUAGGAAUCGCUAGUAAUCGCGGAUCAGAAUGCCGCGGUGAAUACGUUCCCGGGCCUUGUACACACCGCCCGUCACACCAUGGGAGUUGAUUGCACCAGAAGUGGAUAGCUUAACCUUCGGGGAGGCGUUCACCACGGUGUGGUUGAUGACUGGGGUGAAGUCGUAACAAGGUAGCCGUAGGGGAACCUGCGGCUGGAUCACCUC
rnacentral:rRNA from 1 species